rnacentral:rRNA from 1 species
AUUGAACGCUGGCGGCAUGCUUUACGCAUGCAAGUCGAACGGCAGCGGGGAGGAGCUUGCUUCUCUGCCGGCGAGUGGCGAACGGGUGAGUAAUACAUCGGAACGUGUCGAGAAGAGGGGGAUAACCACCCGAAAGGGUGGCUAAUACCGCAUAAAUUCUGAGGAAGAAAGCUGGGGACCUAGGAAUAGGCCUAGCGCUUUUUGAGCGGCCGAUGUCGGAUUAGCUAGUUGGUGAGGUAAAGGCACACCAAGGCGAAGAUCUGUAGCGGGUCUGAGAGGAUGAUCCGCCACACUGGGACUGAGAAUCGGCCCAGACUCCUACGAGAGGCAGCAGUGGGGAAUUUUGGGCGAUGGGGGCAACCCUGAUCCAGCCAUGCCGCGUGUAUGAAGAAGGCCUUAGGGUUGUAAAGUACUUUUGUUAGGGAAGAAAAGUCAGCUGUGAAUAAUGGCUGAUACUGACGGUACCUAAAGAAUAAGCACCGGCUAACUACGUG